rnacentral:rRNA from 1 species
AGCGAACGCUAGCGGCGGGCCUAACACAUGCAAGUCGAGCGCAUACCUUCGGGUAUGAGCGGCGGACGGGUGAGUAACGCGUAGGUCAUCUACCCUUUGGUGGGGGAUAACCCAGGGAAACUUGGGCUAAUACCGCACGAGGUCUACGGAUCAAAGCCUUCGGGCGCCAGAGGAUGAGCCUGCGUCGCAUUACCUAGUUGGCGGGGUAACGGCCCACCAAGGGGACGAUGCGUAGCUGGUCUGAGAGGAUGAUCAGCCACACUGGGACUGAGACACGGCCCAGACUCCUACGGGAGGCAGCAGUGGGGAAUAUUGCGCAAUGGGGGAAACCCUGACGCAGCCACGCCGCGUGGGUGAUGAAGGCCUUCGGGUUGUAAAGCCCUGUCGGGAGGGACGGAAUUCUUGACGGUACCUCCAAAGAAAGACACCGGCUAACUCCGUGCCAGCAGCCG